UACGGGAGGAACAGGUGUUACUCGUCUUGACUGGGCGUAAAGGAUGCGUAGGCGGUUAUUUGAGUUUAAAGUAAAAUUUUAAGUUUUAAAAAUAACUUUUAAUACUAAAUAUCUUUGAGUUUAGAAGAAGAAAAAAGUACUCAUAAUGUAGAGGUGAAAUUCGGUGAUAUUAAGGGGACUCACGAAAGCGAAAGCAUUUUUCUAUUUUAAAACUGACGCUGAGGCAUUACAGCAUGGGGAGCAAACAGG
rnacentral:rRNA from 1 species